UCGAGGAUCUUUGGCAAUGAGCGCAAGCUUGACCAAGCGACGCCGCGUGUGCGAUGAAGGCCUUCGGGUUGUAAAGCACUGUCGAGGGGGACGAAGCCGCAAGGUUGACCGAUCCCUGGAGGAAGCACGGGCUAAGUUCGUGCCAGCAGCCGCGGUAAGACGAACCGUGCGAACGUUGUUCGGAAUCACUGGGCUUAAAGGGCGCGUAGGCGGCUUGCCAAGUCAGUGGUGAAAUCCUGCAGCUUAACUGCAGAAGUGCCUUUGAUACUGGCGAGCUCGAGGGAGGUAGGGGUAUGUGGAACUUCUGGUGGAGCGGUGAAAUGCGUUGAUAUCAGAAGGAACGCCGGUGGCGAAAGCGACGUACUGGACCUCUUCUGACGCUGAGGCGCGAAAGCUAGGGGAGCAAACGG
rnacentral:rRNA from 1 species